rnacentral:misc_RNA from 1 species
GUUGGCUCCCUGACUAGUAUUUUCAGCUUCUUCGUUGUGAAGUUCACCAUUCAUGUGUUCUGAUGCGUUAGUUGCAUUCCAGAAGGUGCCAUGAGAGUAAUAAAUUGUAACUCUCCAAGGAAGCAAAUGACUCAGAUAAGAUUGCCGAUUUGACACUCAUCAAGUAUAAGUUUUAAGCGAACAGCAUUAGUGGAGGGUUGCAAUUUUGGAAUUGCGGUUUAUUGGAAGACUGGUUUUGAAUGAUAACCAGUGAACUAUUUGUGAAAAAACGUAACAUGCAGCAAAGUGGUGGAUGUAGUAAAUGCAGUUGCUUCCACUAUUUUUUAUUUUGAGUGCAAAGAAAUGGUUUCAAGCUAUUCUUAUUACAUCAGAACUCAAGUUUCAUUCGCUUCAAAAAUAUGUAUGGUCGUAUUUUUCUUCCAAAGGAUGUUCCUGCCCUUGUUAAUAUGCAGCUUUGUUGUCUGUAUUGUGUACAAACGUUCCAGAUAUAUUAUUUACUAGUUAUGCCAUUCCCUCUUUGGUUGUCUUCCCAAUCCUCGAGUUUUGCAUAAGAUAACAGCUCUUCGACAAGUCAUGCAAUUACUCCCUUUUGUUUGGCAUAAAGGAGAGAGUUUCAAUAGGGUUGAAUGAGCCAUUAAACCUUCAAAAUCUUUUAAAAAUCCUCUUCAUUAUGAUUUUACCAGUGAAGUACAAGUUUGACAGUUAUCUAGUGUAACGUAACUGCACUGAUGGUGGGCUUGGCAGAAGUUGUGUAAAGAUGAAAGGCCUGAAUACUCCAAAUGCCACAGUUAAUUUGCAACGGUUAUAAUGAAAGUUUAAAGAGAAAAAUUUUGGAAGUCUCUUUAUGCAAAGGUGAAGUUGGAUCUUUUCAAAUCAGUAUAAGCAUGUCCCAAAGUUUGGUGGUUUCCUCGACGGAUUCUAGUUGAUAUUAAAUAUUGGUGUGGUUGGAGGAGAUUAAUGUUGAUCCUGACCAAACUGGGCUCCACAAUGAAAAAAAAUCAAGAGUUUCUUUUCAAGGUUCUUUUGACCAGCUGAAGCCGAAUUCUGACACGGUGCUUUUCUGAAAGGCCAAUUUAUCUGAUGCCAAGGUGACCACUCCACUUUCUUUUCAAAGGGGUUAGUGGAACAUCAAACAUCUCAGGGUCUUAGAAUUCCUGUUCCUUUCUUGUCAUUAUGCAUCGCACUAGAGAUCCAAGAACUAGAGGUGGGGGAAAUUUUGUGAGUUGUACAGGAUAAAUGAUUAGUAGAUUCUCUCUCUUACCCUCUCUUCAAGAUUAGAUCCACAAAGGUCUAUGAUCCCUUGAUAGGAAUAGAGAUAUCUCUCCAAAGUGGGUACAGUUGUUUGAUCAAAAUUCACGAGUCAUAAGCAUUGGAACAGGUUAAGGAAUUUUUGGGGGGCCAUUUGACUCCUAGAGAAACAUUCACGGUAGGAAAGCUCAUGAACAUCCAUUAAUGGAGGUUGACCCGAUGCUGAGUAAGGGGCCACAUCCUGGCCAAACUGGGACUCAGAGAGAUGCCCUAGAGGAUGUUUGACAGAAAGUCUUUCAUUAGGGAUGCGUUUGGUUUUAGGUGCAUGAUCAUCCGCCCAUGAGCAUCAUUGUCAAGAGGAAAAACAUUUGAAAAUGAGAUAACUUCCAUACUUUUCCAUAAGAUAAUCCCGUAGAGUGACAUUUAUAUAGAAUUCCUUCAAUUGCAAUUGUUAUUAUGCUUACAUUAAAAUCAAAAUUUCAUGGAUGUUCAACAUUUCGAGG